CAAGGCGGAAGAUUCAAGUGACUAGGCUUGUGGCUCGAUUAAUUGGAUGCUACUUAUUGUUUUCAAUAGAAAAAUACAAAACAAUACUAUGUUUAUUAAAGAAGCAACGAAGACAAACACGACCAACUACUCAUCAGUUUCUUUUUUUCUGCCUUAAAUGACGCCCCUAACUUGCCACCAAGCGCCAACUUCAUCCGACCUUUUUCCCCUCAAUAAAUUAAAGAGCAUAGUCGUCAACACGCAAACCCCACAACUAUAUCUGAAGGCAUCCUCACACACGGAGAGCCGAGCCACAAGGGCGAGGCACACGCCAAAGGGAAAAGCUAAUAAGGGAACAGCCAAUUAUAGUCAUACCGAAUACGAGAGAGAGAGAGAGAGAAAAAAAAACCAAUCCUCGUUUUCCAGGGUCAUCUGGGUUGUGAUCGGCGUCGUCUUUCUCCACUAAAAAUUCAGGUGUGGCCAAAGGGGAUUGUCAGCAAUGGUUCAUGACAGCAUUCUAUCUCCUCAUCGGAGGUCACAGACUGCAUUCUCUUCACCAUCCUUCAGGAAGCAAUUCCAAGCUCGAGAGGAGUUGGGGAGUUGCUCAACACUGAUCCAGAGGCAUCGCUUCCUCCUAACAGCUCUCGUCCUCCUGGCCUUCCUUUGCACCAUUUACCUCUACUUUGCUGUCACACUAGGCUCCACCAGAUCAUGCUCUGGGUUGACCGGAAGCGAGAGAACCUCAUGUCGCCUAGAGCAUGCAAAAAGUACUCUAUCCUCAGGCAAACUGAAAUUCUUCUAACACCCAGAUGCUGAUCCGGCUCAUAGAGUUGUCAUUGUUUUUAGUCUUCUUAUCCUUCCUCCUGGAGUUUGAAAUCUGAACAUAUUGUUUUUGUGUUACUAGUAGGUUGUUUUCUACUGCUCAACUAGCUCAUUGUCAUUCAAUCAAGUAUACAUAAAUUCCAGCAGCAAUCGAUCCGGGAACAGAACUGUUACAACCUCAACAGUUAAUUCUUAUUAUCAAGAAAUGAAAUUAUGGUUGUUGGUAUUCUUCCA